AGUGAACGCUGGCGGCGUGCUUAACACAUGCAAGUCGAACGGAUGAAAUAAGCUUGCUUAUUUCGUUAGUGGCGCACGGGUGAGUAAUGUAUAGCUAACCUGCCCUUUAGUGGGGGACAACAGAUGGAAACGUCUGCUAAUACCCCAUACUCCAGCCUAUCAUAAGGUAGGUUGGGAAAGAUUUAUUGCUAAAGGAUGGGGCUUUAUGGUAUCAGCUAGUUGGUGGGGUAACGGCCUACCAAGGCAAUGACGCCUACCUGGUCUGAGAGGAUGAUCAGGCACACUGGAACUGAGACACGGUCCAGACUCCUACGGGAGGCAGCAGUGGGGAAUAUUGCACAAUGGAGGAAACUCUGAUGCAGCAACGCCGCGUGGAGGAUGACGCAUUUCGGUGUGUAAACUCCUUUUAUAAGGGAAGAUAAUGACGGUACCUUAUGAAUAAGCACCGGCUAACUCCGUGCCAGCAGCCGCGGUAAAAC
rnacentral:rRNA from 1 species